UACGUAGGGUGCAAGCGUUAAUCGGAAUUACUGGGCGUAAAGCGUGCGCAGGCGGUUUUGUAAGUCUGUCGUGAAAUCCCCGGGCUCAACCUGGGAAUUGCGAUGGAGACUGCAAGGCUAGAAUCUGGCAGAGGGGGUAGAAUUCACGUGUAGCAGUGAAAUGCGUAGAGAGUGUGGAGGAACGACCGAUGGCGAAGGCAGCCCCCUGGGUCAAGAUUGG
rnacentral:rRNA from 1 species